rnacentral:rRNA from 1 species
GAUGAACGCUGGCGGCGUGCCUAAUACAUGCAAGUCGAGCGAACAGACGAGGAGCUUGCUCCUUCGACGUUAGCGGCGGACGGGUGAGUAACACGUAUGUAACCUACCUAUAAGACUGGGAUAACUUCGGGAAACCGGAUCUAAUACCGGAUAAGAUUUCGAACCGCGUGGGUCGAUAGUGAAAGAUGGCUGUGCUAUCACUUAUAGAUGGACCUGCGCCGGAUUAGCUAGUUGGUAAGGUAACGGCUUACCAAGGGAACGAUACGUAGCCGACCUGAGAGGGUGAUCGCCCACCCUGGAACUGAGCCACGGUCCAGACUCCUACGGGAGGCAGCAGUCGGCAAUCUUCCGCAAUGGGCGAAAGCCUGACGGAGCAACGCCGCGUGAGUGAUGAAGGUCUUCGGAUCGUAAAACUCUGUUAUUAGGGAAGAACAAACGUGUAAGUAACUGUGCACGUCUUGACGGUACCUAAUCAGAAAGCCCCGGCUAACUACGUG